AUUGAACGCUGGCGGCAUGCUUUACACAUGCAAGUCGAACGGUAACAGGUCUUCGGAUGCUGACGAGUGGCGAACGGGUGAGUAAUGUAUCGGAACGUGCCCAGUAGUGGGGGAUAACUACUCGAAAGAGUGGCUAAUACCGCAUGAGAACUGAGGUUGAAAGCGGGGGACCUUCGGGCCUCGCGCUACUGGAGCGGCCGAUAUCAGAUUAGGUAGUUGGUGGGGUAAAGGCCUACCAAGCCGACGAUCUGUAGCUGGUCUGAGAGGACGACCAGCCACACUGGGACUGAGACACGGCCCAGACUCCUACGGGAGGCAGCAGUGGGGAAUUUUGGACAAUGGGGGAAACCUCGAUCCAGCCAUGCCGCGUGCAGGAU
rnacentral:rRNA from 1 species